UAGUCAUAUGCUUGUCUCAAAGAUUAAGCCAUGCAUGUCUAAGUAUAAGCAAUCUAUACGGUGAAACUGCGAAUGGCUCAUUAAAUCAGUUAUCGUUUAUUUGAUAGUACCUUACUACUUGGAUAACCGUGGUAAUUCUAGAGCUAAUACAUGCUAAAAACCCCGACUUCGGAAGGGGUGUAUUUAUUAGAUAAAAAACCAAUGCCCUUCGGGGCUCCUUGGUGAUUCAUAAUAACUUAACGAAUCGCAUGGCCUUGUGCCGGCGAUGGUUCAUUCAAAUUUCUGCCCUAUCAACUUUCGAUUGUAAGGUAGUGGCUUACAAUGGUUUCAACGGGUAACGGGGAAUUAGGGUUCUAUUCCGGAGAGGGAGCCUGAGAAACGGCUACCACAUCCAAGGAAGGCAGCAGGCGCGCAAAUUACCCAAUCCCGACACGGGGAGGUAGUGACAAUAAAUACUGAUACAGGGCUCUUUUGGGUCUUGUAAUUGGAAUGAGUACAAUUUAAAUCCCU
rnacentral:rRNA from 1 species